GGGGAAUAUGCCAAUCAGGUAGAAAAUCUCAAGGAGGAAUUAGCAAGCAAAUUAGUGGAUGGGCAAAGAUUGCUGGGAGAGAAAGAUGGUUUGCUUGUGCAGAUAAAUGACCUGGAACUGGUGGUGGAGUCUCUGCGUAGCCACAAAAGUGAAUUGGAAGGGCAUAUAAAUAGUAAAGUUGAUGAGAGCAACCGGUUAAGUGAGGAAAACAAGCAUUUGCAGAGCAAGAUUUCUGAAUUGGAGAGAGUAUUGACAGAAAGGAUGGAUGAGCUCUUUGCCAUCCAAAAGAUAUUGGAUGAUGCAAAUGUUGAAGCUUCCACCCAAAUCGAUGCACUGAAUGAGCAGGUUAAAAAUUUGAGACAGGAGAGGGACUCCUUACAGUCUGAGAAAAGCCAACUGGAAUUACAAAUGGAGAGGAGAAUAGAAGAUUUUUCAGCAAAUUUGGCUCAAGCAGAGGAUCAGAAUUCUGAAUUACAGAAGAGGUUGGAAGAUGGAGAGAUUGAAGCAUCUGCUCGAUUUGCAGCCUUAACUGAACAAGUUAACAAUCUCCAAGAGCAGUUGAAUUCUUUGUCUGCUCUAAAAAUUGAAUCUGAUGCCCUGCUUGAGAAGAAAACUGCAGAAAUAGUGGAAUAUGCCAAUCAGGUAGAAAAUCUCAAGGAGGAAUUAGCAAGCAAAUUAGUGGAUGGGCAAAGAUUGCUGGGAGAGAAAGAUGGUUUGCUUGUGCAGAUAAAUGACCUGGAACUGGUGGUGGAGUCUCUGCGUAACCACAAAAGUGAAUUGGAAGGGCAUAUAAAUAGUAAAGUUGAUGAGAGCAACCGGUUAAGUGAGGAAAACAAGCAUUUGCAGAGCAAGAUUUCUGAAUUGGAGAGAGUAUUGACAGAAAGGAUGGAUGAGCUCUCUGCCAUCCAAAAGAUAUUGGAUGAUGCAAAUGUUGAAGCUUCCACCCAAAUCGAUGCACUGAAUGAGCAGGUUAAAAUUUGAGACAGGAGAGGGACUCCUUACAGUCUGGAAAAGCCAACUGGAAUUACAAAUGGAGAGGAGAAUAGAAGAUUUUUCAGCAAAUUUGGCUCAAGCAGAGGAUCAGAAUUCUGAAUUACAGAAGAGGUUGGAAGAUGGAGAGAUUGAAGCAUCUGCUCGAUUAGCAGCCUUAACUGAACAAGUUAACAAUCUCCAAGAGCAGUUGAAUUCUUUGUCUGCUCUAAAAAUUGAAUCUGAUGCCCUGCUUGAGAAGAAAACUGCAGAAAUAGUGGAAUAUGCCAAUCAGGUAGAAAAUCUCAAGGAGGAAUUAGCAAGCAAAUUAGUGGAUGGGCAAAGAUUGCUGGGAGAGAAGAUGGUUUGCUUGUGCAGAUAAAUGACCUGGAACUGGUGGUGGAGUCUCUGCGUAACCACAAAAGUGAAUUGGAAGGGCAUAUAAAUAGUAAAGUUGAUGAGAGCAACCGGUUAAGUGAGGAAAACAAGCAUUUGCAGAGCAAGAUUUCUGAAUUGGAGAAGUAUUGACAGAAAGGAUGGAUGAGCUCUUUGCCAUCCAAAAGAUAUUGGAUGAUGCAAAUAUUGAAGCUUCCACCCAAAUCGAUGCAUUGAAUGAGCAGGUUAAAAAUUUGAGACAGGAGAGGGACUCCUUACAGUCUGAGAAAAGCCAACUGGAAUUACAAAUGGAGAGGAGAAUAGAAGAUUUUUCAGCAAAUUUGGCUCAAGCAGAGGAUCAGAAUUCUGAAUUAGCAAACCAGGUUGCAAACCAAGAGAGGAAG
rnacentral:lncRNA from 1 species